rnacentral:misc_RNA from 1 species
AACGCACCUUGCGCUCCUUGGUAUUCCGAGGAGCAUGCCCGUUUGAGUGUCGUGAUAUCAUCGAGCCUGCUUCCCCUCUGCGGGGGGUUGCGGGAUCGGACUUGGAUGCGCUGCCGGCCGGAGACGGUCGGCUCAUCCGAAACGCAUUAGCCUCCUGUCCCUUGGCUCCGGGGUGUUCUCGCUCGGCGUGAUAAGAUCACCCGUCGGGGGACCCCCUCUGCCUCAUCCUGGGACUGGCUUCCAACCGUCCGCGAGGACAACGACUUGACCAUCUGACCUCAAAUCGGGUAGGACUACCCGCUGAACUUAA